rnacentral:rRNA from 1 species
GACGUAGGGCGCGAGCGUUGUCCGGAUUUAUUGGGCGUAAAGAGCUCGUAGGCGGUUUGUCGCGUCGUUCGUGAAAACUCACAGCUCAACUGUGAGCUUGCGGUCGAUACGGGCAGGCUAGAGUUCGGUAGGGGAGACUGGAAUUCCUGGUGUAGCGGUGAAAUGCGCAGAUAUCAGGAGGAACACCGGUGGCGAAGGCGGGUCUCUGGGCCAUUACUGACGCUGAGGAGCGAAAGCGUGGGGAGCGAACAGG